AUUCUACCCAUGCGGGGAAGGAUGAGAAGCUUCGACUAAGGUUCGAUUCGAGCGCAGCGAGAAAG
rnacentral:sRNA from 1 species